UACGUAGGGGGCAAGCGUUGUCCGGAAUUAUUGGGCGUAAAGAGCGUGUAGGCGGCCAGAUAAGUCCGCUGUGAAAUCUCGAGGCUCAACUUCGAGCUGUCGGUGGAAACUAUCUGGCUAGAGUCCGGAAGAGGAGAAUGGAAUUCCUGGUGUAGCGGUGAAAUGCGCAGAUAUCAGGAAGAACACCCCGUGGCGAAGGCGGUUCUCUGGGACGGUACUGACGCUGGAGACGCGAAAGCGUGGGGAGCGAACAGG
rnacentral:rRNA from 1 species